rnacentral:piRNA from 1 species
UACGUUGUCUCCGGUGACUUGAGCGUGC